rnacentral:rRNA from 1 species
AUUGAACGCUGGCGGCAGGCCUAACACAUGCAAGUCGAACGGUAACAGGAAGCAGCUUGCUGCUUCGCUGACGAGUGGCGGACGGGUGAGUAAUGUCUGGGAAACUGCCUGAUGGAGGGGGAUAACUACUGGAAACGGUAGCUAAUACCGCAUAACGUCGCAAGACCAAAGAGGGGGACCUUAGGGCCUCUUGCCAUCGGAUGUGCCCAGAUGGGAUUAGCUAGUAGGUGGGGUAACGGCUCACCUAGGCGACGAUCCCUAGCUGGUCUGAGAGGAUGACCAGCCACACUGGAACUGAGACACGGUCCAGACUCCUACGGGAGGCAGCAGUGGGGAAUAUUGCACAAUGGGCGCAAGCCUGAUGCAGCCAUGCCGCGUGUAUGAAGAAGGCCUUCGGGUUGUAAAGUACUUUCAGCGGGGAGGAAGGGAGUAAAGUUAAUACCUUUGCUCAUUGACGUUACCCGCAGAAGAAGCACCGGCUAACUUCGUG